UGGGGAAUUUUGGACAAUGGGGGAAACCCUGAUCCAGCCAUCCCGCGUGUGCGAUGAAGGCCUUCGGGUUGUAAAGCACUUUUGGCAGGAAAGAAACGUCAUGGGUUAAUACCCCGUGAAACUGACGGUACCUGCAGAAUAAGCACCGGCUAACUACGUGCCAGCAGCCGCGGUAAUACGUAGGGUGCAAGCGUUAAUCGGAAUUACUGGGCGUAAGGCGUGCGCAGGCGGUUCGGAAAGAAAGAUGUGAAAUCCCAGAGCUAAACUUUGGAACUGCAUUUUUAACUACCGGGCUAGAGUGUGUCAGAGGGAGGUGGAAUUCCGCGUGUAGCAGUGAAAUGCGUAGGUAUGCGGAGGAACACCGAUGGCGAAGGCAGCCUCCUGGGAUAACACUGACGCUAAUGCACGAAAGCGUGGGGAGCAAACAGG
rnacentral:rRNA from 1 species